rnacentral:hammerhead_ribozyme from 1 species
GACGAGUCCCAAAUAGGACGAAAUGCGCGUC